AUCUCUGGCUAUACGACCCUGAAGGUGCCUGAUCUCAUCUGAUCUUAGAAGCUAAGCAGGGUCAGGCCUGGUUAGUACUUGGAUGGGAGAAAAACGAUGCCCCAAGGAUCCGGUGAUAUACAGGUAGCUGUGUAUC
rnacentral:rRNA from 1 species